GUCCUUUUGUUAUUUAUUUAAGGUCUGACCUGCCCCAUGAUUGUUUUUUAAUGGCCGCGGUAUACUAACCGUGCAAAGGUAGCAUAAUCAUUUGUCUUUUAAUUGAGGGCUUGUAUGAAUGGUUGGACGAGAAAUAUUCUUUCUUUAUUUUUAAAAAAAGAAUUUAAUUUUUAAGUUAAAAAGCUUAAAUUUUUUUAUAGGACGAGAAGACCCUGUAGAACUUUAUUUAUUGAAUUUUAUAGAUUUUUUUGUUAAUUAUUUUUUUAUAAAAUUUAUUAAAUUUUGUUGGGGUGACAGAGAAAUUUAAAUAACUUUCUUUUUUUUAUUUCAUAAAUUUAUGUUUUAUUGAUCCAGAUUUUUUGAUUAUAAGAUUAAGUUACCUCAGGGAUAACAGCGUUAUUUUAUUGGAGAGUUCUUAUCGAUCAUAAAGUUUGCGA
rnacentral:rRNA from 1 species